GCCGGUCCUCGGUAGUGGCCCCCGGACGAUCCAUGGACGCCAUGUGUCAUCACUCCGGGUGCUUCGAUCGAAGACCGGC
rfam:Streptomyces sp. 2114.4 genome assembly, contig: Ga0151178_11